UACGGAGGGUGCGAGCGUUGUCCGGAAUCAUUGGGCGUAAAGGGCGCGUAGGUGGCCCGGUCAGCGUGCGGUGAAAGCUCGGGGCUCAACCCCGAGUCGGCCGUGCGAACUGCUGGGCUGGAGCACUGUAGAGGCAGGCGGAAUUCCUGGUGUAGCGGUGAAAUGCGCAGAUAUCAGGAAGAACACCAAUGGCGAAAGCAGCUCUCUGGGACGGUACUGACGCUGAGACGCGAAAGCGUGGGGAGCGAACAGG
rnacentral:rRNA from 1 species